AGUGACAGCAGGCUACAAUCGCCAUUUUUUCUUAAGAAUUCGAACUAGUCUAAGUAGAUGUAAAAAAAUGAACCAAACACGAAACACGAAUGAGAUGUGUAUUUGGCAAUCUCGUUUUGCCAAGUAGGUUCGCAGAGCAGCAUGACUGGCAGCACUGAUUUGAAAACUCGUUCUUUGACGAACUCGCCGGCAACUUUAGCAAGGGCUAGAUGCGAAGAGUUCUUUUGAAUCAUUUAGAGGUUGCAGAGCUUGAAGACAUCUUGGAUGAACAUCAGCAUUUUUUUCAUUCAAAUUCCACCUAAUGUACUUCAGGAGAGUGGUGAAUACCUAAUGAUCAUGUUUGUUUUACAAUGGAAGAAAUGUUGAAGCACAACUUCUGUGACUUUGUCCAAACACUUGUGAAUCGUUGUUUGUCCACCGUUAUCGAAACAUCGUUCCCGUAAUUCGAGCCAUUUGUAUGGAGGAUAUUGGCAUUUGGAACGGUUCCCCCAAACUUUUCUGGAUGAUUCUCACCUGAAGUAUAUUGGGUGGAGUUUGAAUGAGAAAGUUGCUUAUGUUCGGUUAAGAAGUCUUCAAGGUCUGCAAACCGCUGUAUUUAAGGAUCGUAUCGUCUCGGUGAAAAUUAGACAAAGAUUGCGAUGCGGUCUACAUGCAAGUUUAUUCUAAACAUCGAGCCCUUGCUAAAGUUGCCGGCGAGUUCGUCAAACAGCGAGUUUUCAAAUCUAGUGCUGCCAGUCAUGCUGCUGUGCUAACUCUACAUGGCAAAACGAGACUGCCCAACACACAUCUCAUUCGUGUUUCGUGAUUUGGUUCAAUUUUUACAUCUACUUAUUUGUUCGAGUUCUUAAGAAAAAAUGGCGAUUGUAUUUGCACGUGUUAGGAGUAUAGCCCCCCCCCCCUUUUUUGAUGCUUGCAAUACACGACGUGUACUCGAG